GACGAACGCGGCGGCGUGCCUAAUACAUGCAAGUCGAGCGAGCUUGCCUAGAUGAAUUUGGUGCUUGCACCAAAUGAAACUAGAUACAAGCGAGCGGCGGACGGGUGAGUAACACGUGGGUAACCUGCCCAAGAGACUGGGAUAACACCUGGAAACAGAUGCUAAUACCGGAUAACAACACUAGACGCAUGUCUAGAGUUUAAAAGAUGGUUCUGCUAUCACUCUUGGAUGGACCUGCGGUGCAUUAGCUAGUUGGUAAGGUAACGGCUUACCAAGGCAAUGAUGCAUAGCCGAGUUGAGAGACUGAUCGGCCACAUUGGGACUGAGACACGGCCCAAACUCCUACGGGAGGCAGCAGUAGGGAAUCUUCCACAAUGGACGCAAGUCUGAUGGAGCAACGCCGCGUGAGUGAAGAAGGGUUUCGGCUCGUAAAGCUCUGUUGGUAGUGAAGAAAGAUAGAGGUAGUAACUGGCCUUUAUUUGACGGUAAUUACUUAGAAAGUCACGGCUAACUACGUGCCAGCAGCCGCGGUAAUACGUAGGUGGCAAGCGUUGUCCGGAUUUAUUGGGCGUAAAGCGAGUGCAGGCGGUUCAAUAAGUCUGAUGUGAAAGCCUUCGGCUCAACCGGAGAAUUGCAUCAGAAACUGUUGAACUUGAGUGCAGAAGAGGAGAGUGGAACUCCAUGUGUAGCGGUGGAAUGCGUAGAUAUAUGGAAGAACACCAGUGGCGAAGGCGGCUCUCUGGUCUGCAACUGACGCUGAGGCUCGAAAGCAUGGGUAGCGAACAGG
rnacentral:rRNA from 1 species